rnacentral:rRNA from 1 species
GACGAACCGUGCGAACGUUAUUCGGAAUCACUGGGCUUAAAGGGCGCGUAGGCGGGUCGGUAAGUCAGGGGUGAAAUCCCACGGCCCAACCGUGGAAGUGCCUCUGAUACUGCCGGCCUCGAGGGGGAUAGGGGCGUGCGGAACUCAGGGUGGAGCGGUGAAAUGCGUAGAGAUUAGGAAGAACACCAGUGGCGAAGGCGACUUACUGGACUGUAACUGACGCUGAGGCAUGAAAGCGUGGGGAGCAAACAGG